GCGAGGGGGAGACUGAGAGCCAGUCCCUCCCACCCCCGGCUCUUAGGACUCGCAUCGCAAGCGGGGGAGGCACGCCACGCGAGGCGGGGACUGAGAGCCAGCCCCCCUUCCCCCCGGGCUUAGGACCCCCAUCGCGGUUCCUAAGAUCCUUAGGACCCACCUGGAGGACUGUGGGUAUGGGGUGUCCAAGAAGAAAGCUCAGAUCUGCCCACGGCAGGUACCUUACUUGGGAUUUACAAUCGACAGGGGUCCGAACGCAGCCCGGGAAAAGAAAGAAAGCAGGAUCCCCAUCGCAAGGGGGGAAGACACCGCCCACGAGUCGGGGACUGAGAGCCAGCCCCUCUUCCCCCGCUGGCUUAGGACCCCCACCGCGGAUUCUAAGAUCCUUAGCACCCACCUGGAGGACUGUGGGUUUUAGGUGUCCAAGAAGAAAGCUCAGACCUGCCGACCGCAGGACCCCCAUCGCGGAUCCUAAGAUCCUUAGGACCCACCUGGAGGACUGUGGGUAUUAGGUGCCCAAGAAGAAAGCUCAAAUCUGCCGACGUUACUUUAGAUUUACUAUCCGACAGGGGUCCGAACACAGCUCGGGAUCAGAAAGAAAGCAGGACCCCCAUCGCGGAUCCUAAGAUCCUUAGGACCCAACUGGAGGACUGUGGGUAUUAGGUGCCCAAGAAGAAAGCUCAGAUCUGCCGACGUUACUUGGGAUUUACUAUCCGACAGGUGUCCGAACACAGCUCGAGAUCAGAAAGAAAGCAGGGGUCCGAACGCAGCCCGGGAUCAGGAAGAAAGCAGGUCGUUUGCAAUCUACCGGAGCCUAAGGGCAGAAGGCAGGAUCGUGGGAACAAUAUCCCAGGGGGGUUUCCACUUUCUGCCAUAUAUGUAGUCACAUCGCCCACUCCGCCUUGGAAUAUUAUUAAGGACCAUCUAACACGAGGGUGUAUACGUCCUGCGAUAUUACGAGUAAUAUCAACUUCUUGGCCUCUGAAUAUGAGGAAGAAUAUCACAGGGGGUCCGAAUGCAGCCCGGGAUCACAAAGAAAGCAGGUCGUUUGCAAUCUACCAGAGCCUAAGGGCAGAAGGCAGGAUCGUGGGAACAAUAUCCCAUGGGGGUGUACCCUUUCUGCCAUAUAUGUAGUCACAUCACCCACUCCGCCUUGGAAUAUUAUUAAGGACCAUCUAACACGAGGGUGUAUACGUCCUGUGAUAUUGGGAGUAAUAUCAACUUCUCGGCCUCUGAAUAUGAGGAAGAAUAUCACAGGGAUAUUAAUAACAAUUUCACAGGCUGGGUGAACACAGCCGGCGAUGCUGAAAUUAUUAUCAUCCUCUCCCCCUCUUCCCCUCCUGGCUCUCAGUCCCCGCCUCACGGGUUAUGUAGCGGGUUAUGGCAAGAAGACAAACUGCAGUUUCCUGCACAGAACAGCACAAACAAUGAUCCAAGCUCAGUUACAACACAAUAUUGGUCAUCAUUUGACCAUGGACUUCAAUAUCAACCCUUAGAAACCUUCCUAAAACAGGUCAGCAAAACACCAAGAAGCAAUAUCCUGAAUGAUAGGAAAAUAUCCUUGCUUGUGCAAAUUGUUUCCACUUAAUUUUUUUCAACAAAUGUUAAUUAUAUUUUUACUUUCUAAAAAUUUUUAAUAAAAUAUAGCCUACUUGGUUAAAAAUGGUGUCAAAGCUUUUCUAAAAGUUAAGGCAUUACAUAAUUCAGUGGCCCCUGUGGCUGCCAUGGAUAAUUCUUU